rnacentral:rRNA from 1 species
GACGAACGCUGGCGGCGUGCCUAAUACAUGCAAGUUGAACGCUAAAGCUUUAACUGGUGCUUGCACCGACCUAAGUUUUUAGAGUAGCGGACGGGUGAGUAACACGUGGGGAAUCUGCCUUUGAGCGGGGGACAACAUUUGGAAACGAAUGCUAAUACCGCAUAAAAACUUUAAACACAAGUUUUAAGUUUGAAAGAUGCAAUUGCAUCACUCAAAGAUGAUCCCGCGUUGUAUUAGCUAGUUGGUGAGGUAAAGGCUCACCAAGGCGAUGAUACAUAGCCGACCUGAGAGGGUGAUCGGCCACAUUGGGACUGAGACACGGCCCAAACUCCUACGGGAGGCAGCAGUAGGGAAUCUUCGGCAAUGGACGAAAGUCUGACCGAGCAACGCCGCGUGAGUGAAGAAGGUUUUCGGAUCGUAAAACUCUGUUGGUAGAGAAGAACGUUGGUGAGAGUGGAAAGCUCAUCAAGUGACGGUAACUACCCAGAAAGGGACGGCUAACUACGUGCCAGCCGCCGCCGUAAAAC